rnacentral:rRNA from 1 species
GUGGGGAAUAUUGGUCAAUGGGGGGAACCCUGAACCAGCGACGCCGCGUGAGGGAAGAAGGUUUUCGGAUUGUAAACCUCUGUCUUCGGGGAAGAUAAUGACGGUACCCGAGGAGGAAGCCACGGCUAACUACGUGCCAGCAGCCGCGGUAAUACGUAGGUGGCAAGCGUUGUCCGGAAUUACUGGGUGUAAAGGGAGUGUAGGCGGGACGGUAAGUUAGGUGUGAAAACUAUGGGCUCAACCCAUAGAUUGCACUUAAAACUGCUGUUCUUGAGUGAAGUAGAGGCAAGCAGAAUUCCUAGUGUAGCGGUGAAAUGCGUAGAUAUUAGGAGGAAUACCAGUGGCGAAGGCGGCUUGCUGGGCUUUUACUGACGCUGAGGCUCGAAAGCGUGGGUAGCAAACAGGAUUAGAAACCCUUGUAGUCC